AUGCUCAUUUCAGUAGCACAUAUACUAAAACUGGAAUGAUACAGAGAUUAGCAUGGUUCCUGCACAAGGAUGACAUGCAAAUUUGUGAAGUGUUCAUAUUAAAA